rnacentral:rRNA from 1 species
UACAGAGGUGGCAAGCGUUGUUCGGAAUUACUGGGCGUAAAGGGCGCGUAGGCGGCCUUCUAAGUCAGACGUGAAAUCCCCCGGCUUACUCGGUGAACUGCGUCUGAUACUGGAGGGCUUGAGUAUGGGAGAGGGAUGUAGAAUUCCAGGUGUAGCGGUGAAAUGCGUAGAUAUCUGGAGGAAUACCGGUGGCGAAGGCGGCAUCCUGGACCAUUACUGACGCUGAGGCGCGAAAGCUAGGGGAGCAAACGGGG